GCUGGAAUCGCUAGUAAUCGCGAAUCAGAAUGUCGCGGUGAAUACGUUCCCGGGUCUUGUACACACCGCCCGUCACACCAUGGGAGUCGGGAAUGCCCGAAGUCAGUGACCCAACCUAUUGGAGGGAGCUGCCGAAGGCAGGUCUGAUAACUGGGGUGAAGUCGUAACAAGGUAAC
rnacentral:rRNA from 1 species